GUGCUCGCUUCAGCAGCACAUAUACUAAAAUAGAAACAAUACAGAGAAGAUUGGCAUGGCCCCUGCGCAAGGAUAACAUGCAAAUUCAUGAAACAUUCCAUUUUUUC
ensembl:snRNA U6 U6 spliceosomal RNA